UCAUACUGAAACAGUCUUUUAAAUGAUUGC
rnacentral:piRNA from 1 species